rnacentral:rRNA from 1 species
UUAGGCGUGUGACUGCGUACCUUUUGUAUAAUGGGUCAGCGACUUAUAUUCUGUAGCAAGGUUAACCGAAUAGGGGAGCCGAAGGGAAACCGAGUCUUAACUGGGCGUUAAGUUGCAGGGUAUAGACCCGAAACCCGGUGAUCUAGCCAUGGGCAGGUUGAAGGUUGGGUAACACUAACUGGAGGACCGAACCGACUAAUGUUGAAAAAUUAGCGGAUGACUUGUGGCUGGGGGUGAAAGGCCAAUCAAACCGGGAGAUAGCUGGUUCUCCCCGAAAGCUAUUUAGGUAGCGCCUCGUGAAUUCAUCUCCGGGGGUAGAGCACUGUUUCGGCAAGGGGGUCAUCCCGACUUACCAACCCGAUGCAAACUGCGAAUACCGGAGAAUGUUAUCACGGGAGACACACGGCGGGUGCUAACGUCCGUCGUGAAGAGGGAAACAACCCAGACCGCCAGCUAAGGUCCCAAAGUCAUGGUUAAGUGGGAAACGAUGUGGGAAGGCCCAGACAGCCAGGAUGUUGGCUUAGAAGCAGCCAUCAUUUAAAGAAAGCGUAAUAGCUCACUGGUCGAGUCGGCCUGCGCGGAAGAUGUAACGGGGCUAAACCAUGCACCGAAGCUGCGGCAGCGACGCUGAUGCGUUGUUGGGUAGGGGAGCGUUCUGUAAGCCUGCGAAGGUGUGCUGUGAGGCAUGCUGGAGGUAUCAGAAGUGCGAAUGCUGACAUAAGUAACGAUAAAGCGGGUGAAAAGCCCGCUCGCCGGAAGACCAAGGGUUCCUGUCCAACGUUAAUCGGGGCAGGGUGAGUCGACCCCUAAGGCGAGGCCGAAAGGCGUAGUCGAUGGGAAACAGGUUAAUAUUCCUGUACUUGGUGUUACUGCGAAGGGGGGACGGAGAAGGCUAUGUUGGCCGGGCGACGGUUGUCCCGGUUUAAGCGUGUAGGCUGGUUUUCCAGGCAAAUCCGGAAAAUCAAGGCUGAGGCGUGAUGACGAGGCACUACGGUGCUGAAGCAACAAAUGCCCUGCUUCCAGGAAAAGCCUCUAAGCAUCAGGUAACAUCAAAUCGUACCCCAAACCGACACAGGUGGUCAGGUAGAGAAUACCAAGGCGCUUGAGAGAACUCGGGUGAAGGAACUAGGCAAAAUGGUGCCGUAACUUCGGGAGAAGG